rnacentral:tRNA from 1 species
GCUGGGGCUCAGUGGCAGAGCACUUGCCUGGCAUGCAUGAGGCACUGGGUUCGAUUCUCAGCACCAAGUA